GUAGGUGAACCUGCGGAAGGAUCAUUAAUGAAUUUAAAAUAAAAAGGGAGUUGCUGCUGACCUCGGUAUGUGCACGCUCUUCUUUUAUUCAUUCAUACACACCCUGUGCACCUAUCGUAGGCCGAGAGAUCGGCCUAUGUACUUUUAUUAUACCCCACAAAGUCUACCGAAUGUCAUAAAUGAACGGUCUCGCCUUGAAAAAGCGUGCCCUCUAAUUUAAAACUUAUACAACUUUCAACAACGGAUCUCUUGGCUCUC
rnacentral:misc_RNA from 1 species